rnacentral:lncRNA from 14 species
UUCACUUAGGACAAUAAUAAAGUUCAUAUGCAAUAUAUUGUCUUCCUUAUUUAUUUAUUUUUAAAUUUUUACUUAUUUACUUUUGCAUAUGUAUGUAUUAUGUAUGUAUGUGUGUAUGUAUGUAUUAUGUCUGUAUGUAUUAUGUAUGUAUGUAUGUGUGAUGUAUGUAUGUGUAUAUGUAUGUAUAUAUGUGUGUAUGUAUGUCUGUAUGUAUGCAUGUGUGCAUGUGUGUAUGAUGGGUUCAUGCCUGCUGUGGCGUACAUAUGGAAGUUAGAGGAUAACUUAUGUGAGUUGGUUCUUUCCUUCUACCAUGAGGUGCUCAGGACUAAACUCAGGUCAUUGGGUUGGGUAGUAAUAUCAUUUACCUACUAUGUCAUUUCUCUGGCCCCUUAUCUUUAAUUAUUGUAUAAUAUUUUCUAUUAAAUUAGUUCUUUAUUUAUGGAAAAUUAAAUUGUUUCCCACGGUCUGCAGUUAUAAAAACUGUUAAGAUAAAUAUUCAUCAUGCGUAUGCCAUCUGGAAUAUUUUUGGGGUCUUUCCUACAACUAUUGUAAACCUGUAUGUAUUUUCCACUAGGUUGAUAUGGAGGUGACCCUCCCAGGUGAGGGCAAGGACCAAACGUUCAAAGUGUCAGUGCAAUGGGUGUCAGUUGUGAGCCUUCAGCUGCUUUUAGAAGCUUUAGCUGGACACCUGAGUGAAGUCCCAGAUGACUCAGUACAAGCCCUUGACGUGAUUACAAGGCAUCUCCCCUCUAUGAGGUACACUCCAGUAGGCCGGUCUUUUUUCUCACCUCCUGAAGGUUACUACCACCCUCUGGGAGGGGGCAGAGAGGUCUGGUUCGGCUUUCACCAGUCUGUGCGCCCUGCCAUGUGGAAGAUGAUGCUCAACAUUGAUGUAUCUGCAACUGCUUUCUACCGGGCUCAGCCCAUCAUUGAGUUCAUGUGUGAGGUUUUAGACAUCCAGAACAUCAACGAGCAGACGAAACCUCUAACAGACUCCCAGCGUGUCAAGUUUACCAAAGAAAUCAGGGGUAGGUAUUCCUGGUAAUGUCAUUGUGGCAUGAGUGUAACACAGUAAGAUCAUCUGGGCUUGAGCCACAUAGACCUGGGUUGCCUUCCUAGCCUACAUAGUCCCAGCAAGUGGGACCCUGUGUUAGCCAUAAAGUCAGUAUACACUCAGACUUGGAAAUACACACCAGAGCAUACUGAUACUUAAACAAACUUACUGAAUGAACUAGUAAGGUCAGUUAUGUAGCCAGGCAUGGUAUUGCAUGCCUGCAGCCUCAGCAAUCGUGAAACUGUGACCAGAAGAUCACAAGAUCGAGGCUAAUCUGAGCCAUGUAGAAGAUCCUGUCUCAAAAAAAAAAAAAAUUGGUUGAACAUCUUAGAUCAUCCGGGACCUAAUUUAGAGCUUACUUAGCUAAGACUUUUUGCCAUAAUAUGAUUAAAUUGCUGCAACUUUUAUUCUGUAUUAAGUAUUGACUUUUAUGUGUAUUCGGAGAAAUCUCUAUUAUCUGCAUGAGGAUUCUUUCCAGAGUAACGUACUUCUGAC